UACAGAGGGGGCAAGCGUUGUUCGGAAUUACUGGGCGUAAAGGGCGCGUAGGCGGCCUUCUAAGUCGAACGUGAAAUCCCUGGGCUCAACCCAGGAACUGCGUCCGAUACUGGAAGGCUUGAAUUCGGGAGAGGGAUGCGGAAUUCCAGGUGUAGCGGUGAAAUGCGUAGAUAUCUGGAGGAACACCGGUGGCGAAGGCGGCAUCCUGGACCGAGAUUGACGCUGAGGCGCGAAAGCCAGGGGAGCAAACGGG
rnacentral:rRNA from 1 species